UACUCUGUGACCAAAGGCUUCUAGCCUCUAGCAAUUUAACUCCUGCUGAUAGGAGCAGGGGGUUAAGAAAGAAGGCUUAGUUACUUGGGUUCUUUUCUCUCUGGCUCAAGGGCCCUUUCCUGGCCAGGUGAGAGGCUUAGACUUUGUUAACUGUUUGUGAGCCAGAGAGAAGAGAAAAGGAAGAAAAGAGAAUCACACACACACACACACACACACACACACACACACACACACACACACACACUCUGCUGGCUGGGCCUGACUAUCUGUUUCAUCAAUUUCACAAGUGCAUAUGCAUACUUAUAUACACGUGUAUAUACCUACAUACUUAUGUAUGUACACAUAGAUGGACAGAUGUAUACAUAUAUACCAUAUAUAUACACACAUAUAUACAUACAUACAAACAUACAUGUAUAUGUAUAUGCAUAUAUACACAAAUACACACAUGCACACAUACACACAUACACACAUAUACACAUACACAUACACAUACACAUAUACAUAUACAUACACAUAUACAUAUAUAUUUGGUUGAUGGAGCAGAGCCCCAAAAGCCACACUUUAUUUUUUCUCUGACAAUUUAUACAUUCUUCAACAAAAGUUCUUUAUAAAAUUACCUCAUAGAUAAAAGGGGCAUUACAGAAGGAUGUCAGUAGUAAGGACAAAGCAGUGUUUCACUCUGUAAGUUCAUUAUAAGUUCAAAGCAGCAGUUUCCCAUGGCCUUGCUUUAUCACGGUGCACACCUGUGACUUCAUCCUCACAGUGCACACCUGUGACUUCAUCCUUGGACCUGACAUAGAAUGAAUGUUUCUUAGUGUCACUUAUGAAAGCUCCCUGUAUCCUUAUUAUGCAGCCUUUACUUACUAUUCUAUGAGGAGGGGCACACUCUGUUCUUGAUUCUAACUUUAUUACAUCCCUCUGGCAAAACAACUAAAGACAUCUCUUUAAAUUUUCUUCCUAAAAAUCGUUUGGACCGAAUCAGGAAUUCUAUAAAGUCAUUAAUUCAUCUAAACAGCAUUAAUUCACGAAAGCUCAUCUUCAUGUUGAUCUGCAGGAAAUUUUCCCAAUAGGGUGGGCUGAUGCCCAGGAAUCACUAGGCUCUGUGACAGUGACAAGAAAGGUACAUCAGCAGUAGGAAACAAUCCUGGGAUGAAGUCUCUGGGUUGCACCUCUCCAGAGCUCACCCAUUGCAGUCAUCCAAGAUGGUAGACUAUCUUCCCAAGAAACUCAUUGCUUGCCAUAGCCUUUCUUCCUAGGACACGCUCACUCAUUUUUGGAUCCACAGUAAACUUUCUUUUAUUUCCAUUUGAGAUAAGAAUGGUGUUUUUGGGUCGGCAACAUAGAAAGAAUAGCGGAGCUGUUAUGAUGAGAGUUUCAAAGGGUUUUUGGCAAAUGCCUACAGUCAGGUACUUACCACCACAGAAUCAACACUAACACUGACUGAUACCAGGGUUUAGAAGGCAUCUUGGGGGUAGUUCUUCCAGUUUCUUAGGAGGUGGGUGGGUGAGGAGGACAAUGACUCAGAGAGACAGUAGCAAGCAAAGCCAGAGGAUUUGGAUCUGGUUUGUUAUUGUUAUUGUUUUGUUUUUGUUUUUCACUAUUGAGCUGUAUUCCAAUGCAGGAUCUGGCUUCUUAAAUUCAGUAGGGUGCAACUGGGCUGUCCUGACUUAAGUAUGAAACAGGUGUUGCUUUCUUUUAUUACACAACAAUAGUCCAUUCAUUAUACAAUGUAACUGUUUGUCUCCCAGUUGAAGGAUGUCUGGGUCAUUCCUGGCUAUAUGCAUUUGUUUAAAGAUCUUGUAUGAAUAAAUGUUUUUAUUUCUCUUGCACAGUUCCUAGGAAUGGAGCUGAUGACCAGAAAAUGGAAACACACAGAAUUGUACAAGAAACUUGUAGAAAUCUGUGGAAAAGACUUCUCUCACAGUUGCAUUAUCUCUGUGCACGUCUUGGGAACUUGCCAAGCAUAUGGCUGCAGGGCUGCUUCUGGGUCCCUCUGCCAUUUGGUUGUGUACUUGUUCAUCCUCUUCCCAAUUCCACAAUGCAUCCAUUGCUGUGGCUAUAUCACUCCACUUCAUUUAAUUAAUUAGCUAAUCAAUUAAUUAAUUUAAACAGGAUCCCAUAUACUUCAAGCUGGCCUCAGGCUGGCCUCGAACUCCUCUUCCUUCUGUAUCCCUCCCAUGUUGGGUUUAUAGAUGUACACCAUCAUAUCCGAUUAUACACUGUUGAGGACUGAACCCAGGGCGUCAUGCAUGCCGGGCAAGCACCUUACUAGUCCAUGCUAUUGCUACAUGGUGAAUCUUUUAAAAGAUUUAUGUAUGUGUGUGAGUGCUUUGCCUACAUAUAUGUAAGUGCACCAUGUGCAGCCAGAAGAAAGCAUUGAAUUCACUGGAACUGGAGUUACAGCUGGUGGUGAGCCUCCACGGGGGUGAUAAGAACUAAAUCCAGGUUCCCUGCAAGAGCAAAUAGUGCUCUUAACUGCUAAGACAUCUCUCCAACCCCUCAGUAUGAAAUUCAAUGUUAUACUUUCUUUUCAAGGUCAUUUUGACUAGUCUAACUCCUUUGGCCUUUUAAAUACAUUUUACAGUCAGCCUGCUUCUAUCUAUAAAGAAAGUCUUUCUGGGGUAUUAUUUGAGAACGCAUUGAAUCUACAGAUCAAUGUUCAGAUAACUGACACUUUAGAAGUAUUGAGUUCUCUUUUCACGGAGAUUUCAUAUCACCCACUUAGCUUCUGUUUCUUUCAUUGAUACUUUUCAGAGGAACGAUUUGUGUUUAUUUUAUUGUCUUCAUGCUAUUGUAAAUAAGCUAAUUAGAAUAAUGGAAGCCUAUUUAUUUUGCUUGUUUGGGUGUUGGAGCUCUGCUAAAUGAGGGUUGUUUUUUUUUUUUUUUUCCAGUUAUCUGUGUAAGAAAUACCAAGUAUGAGUCUUUUCUCUCAAAUACUAUAGACUUGUGUUUAGGAAAAAUAGUUUAAAUAGUUUAUCUCCUCUACUUCGUAAGGUUUUUAGGCAAAUGGUUUAACCCACCCCCACCUUUUAUCUGAGAAUCGCUAUAUGCUAUAUAUGUUUGUUCGGACAAAGGUCCCCAGCUAUAAUCCAGGAGUUUGAUGACCUGGAGCAGUGACCGAGUUCUCCUUCUUCCAGUUCUUUCUAGAUUAGCCAAUUUUACAAGUCUGAGAAGUCAGACCCCAACCAAGUCACCACCUGAGUUAGAACAGAAACCAAAAGUAUUUCCUGCCUUAGCCUGUUUGCUCUAUAAGCACACCCUUCGGUCAAGGGUAACGUUUGUCUUGUCCAGAUCUAUCAGUGAGGGUGGUGGCCUCUUUGUGACUCUAAGCUUAUUUCUGACAUCUGACUAGAAAAGGUUUUCUUUUUUCUUUCCUGUUUGUAGGCCGUGUGUGUGUGUGUGUGUGUGUGUGUGUGUGUGUGUGUGUGUCUGCGCCAGAGUUAUCUUCCUCAAUCACUUUCAACUUUCCUUUUUGAGACAGGGCCUUUCACCAUACCUGAACUUCACCAAUUUGGCUAAAUUGGCUAGCCAUAAGCUUCACCUUCCUCCUGUCUCUGCCUCUCCAGUACCAGAAUUACAGGUAUGUGCUUCUGUGCCUGGCUUUUUAUGUGGGUUCUGUGGGUCCAAAUUUAGGUCUUUAUGCUUAUGGCAAGCACUUAACUGACUAAGUCAUCUUCCCGGCCCUCUCUGGGGCUCAGUUUUGUUUUGUUUUUUUUUCUUUAUUGCCUUGAAUAAAAAUGACAGUGUGCUCUUGAAGAGCCGCAGUGAGAGGAUACUCUUGCCUCACUCGUGACCUUGGGACGAAAGCAUUUAGUUGUUCAACACUGAUCAUGCUGUUACCUCACAGUUUUAUAGAUUCCCUUUAUCAAGGUGACAAUGUCUUCCACAGCUAGUUGACUACGAGUUUUAAUCAAGAAGUGUUAAACCAAGGAGAAAGGCCAGUACCACAAUUGUCCAAUGAAAGCAAGCUUUAUUUUAAUACUGGCCAGGAAGAUGGACACUGGCCAUGCCUGUACUCAGAAUUCCCAGAGAACAGCCAUGAGCUACACUGGCCAGGCACUUACAAAGGAAACCCCACAAGGUUCCAGAUUUCCCAUUUUCAACCAACUGGGGGCAAGCACACAUCCUGCCUAUGUGUGUUCAAACAUGGGUACAGUCGGACCAACCAAACUCAUUCAGGGAAGCAGCACACGUGGUUUGCUCCAUGAACAGCCUCGAGCAUCUCAGGAGGUACCGCCUUCGGCAAGUGGUACUUACAGUUCACUUUCGCCCUUACAGAAGGAAUUGAAUCUUGUCGAGUGCUUUCUUGUAUCUGAUAAAGCUAUCUCAGUUUUUGUUCAUUACUCUGUCAAUAUGAUGAAUUACAAUGUCUUUCUCUUUUUGUUAACUUUCUCUCUCCCCCCACCUGCCGCCAUGUGCCUAUAUCUUUGUCUCUGUCUUUCUCUCCCCCGCACCCCAACCUGAGAGAACCUCAUAUAUUGAAGGUUGGCCCCAAACUCUAUACUAACUUGAUGUACGGCCAAGGAUGACCUUGAACUCCUGCUUCUACCUCCCAGAUGCUGGGAUUACAGCAUCAGAGAGUGGACGUGGGUGAUGAGUCCUCCGGAAAUCAGAAGUCCAUGUGUGUCUUCCCACUUGACUGCCACUUGCUCCGAGGAAGUUGACAGGUACCAGGAGCUGAGAACCAUAACUGAGCAGGUGGGAAACACCUCUGGCCUGUCACCCGGCAGUGUCGGUCAUUUGAAACACUUCGGCUUAACUGUAAUGACAGCCUCGUUUACCUGGAAGCUGGUCGGGAUAGAAGUCCAGGAUGGCUACAUUCACACCUUGGCAGCUUGCCCGGCACCUUGGUUCUCUUCUAAAUGACCGCCCACCCUCCAGGAGGCCAGGGUUCCUGAGUGGCCAUCUCACGCAGUGCUUCAAGGGGUCACAGGCAGCAACUGUUUUCCAGGUUCUUCAGGACCCAGACAUCAGAACUCAUCCAAUGCCUAUCUUAUUGGUCAACAUAAGACCAACACCCAUGUUCAAUGGUAUGGAGAAAAACCUGCUCCGUCCUGGAUGGGAAGAACACAGAGUCACAUUAUCAAAGAGAGCCAUGCUGGAUACUUUAGUGGAGAGAAUGACGACCACUAAACAAUUACACACUCUCCUUCUCUGCCCCUCUCUCGAGCCAUCUUGGCAUUGUCUUCUUGUGGGUCACCUCUGAAAUGCAUACUUAAACGGGGAUAUUGGAAACAGUGUCUGCUGCUGGAGAAACCUAAGCCGUAAUCCACACAGCAUCAUGGGAGGCUGGGAAUCAGCCAGAGACUCAGCUCCUAGACAGGAGAUAAGGACAGGCCACGGGAGAGCCUCGUCUCUCAUCUCCAUCUCUUCUGAUAGCCCAUAGCCUUGCUUUCUCUUUCUUUAGUAAAGAUCAGUUCAGUGAGACUCUGGGAAAAUUUCCACGAACACUGGUGGGAGCCACAAGAGAAGAUCUGGAGGAUGGGCCCAUUUUUUUUAAAUGUUUUUCCAGAUAUGGAAAUAUUCUUGCUUCUAUUCUGAGGAAGAGUUCGUAUCUCCAGUUUUCUGAAUUGAAGAACACACACCACGACACUUGUGUGGACAGCAGAGGAUAGCUAACAGGGACGAGUCCGUUCUGUCUGUCCCUGAGGUGUGGGUGUCUGGGGAAUUGAACUCAGGCUGUCAAACUCAAGCUACCACUGAGCUGAAUCCCCAAGCCCCCCAAUUCAAUCUUUCAAUGGUGGGUGUUUUUUGUUUCUUUGCUCUCAAGACACGGUUUCUGUGUGUAGCUCUGGCUGUCCUGGAACUUGUUCUGUAGACCAGACUUGCCCCCAAACCCAGAUAUCUGCCUGCCUCUGCUUCCUGACCUCUGGAACUAAAGGCUAUCUUUUUUAAUUAAAAAUCAUUUUCAUCCAA